CCUACGUGAGGCAGCAGUGAGGAAUAUUGGUCAAUGGGCGCGAGUCUGAACCAGCCAAGUAGCGUGAAGGAUGACUGCCCUACGGGUUGUAAACUUCUUUUAUAAGGGAAUAAAAUGAGCCAAGUGUGGGAUUUUGUAUGUACCAUAUGAAUAAGGAUCGGCUAACACCGUGCCAGCAGCCGCGGUAAUACGGAGUAUCCGAGAGUUAGCCGGAUUUAUUGGGGUUAAAGGGAUCGUAGGUGGUUUGUUAAGGCAGUUGUGAAAGUUUGCGGCUGAACCGUAAAAUUGAAGUUGAGACUGGCAGUCUUGAGUACAGUCGAGGUAGGCGGAAUUCGUGGUGUAGCGGUGCAAUGCUUAGAUAUCACGAAGAACUCCGAUUGCGAAGGCAGUUUACUAAACUGCCACUGACACUGAGGCUCGAAAGUGUGGGUAUCAAACAGGAUUUGAUACCCGAGUAGUC
rnacentral:rRNA from 1 species